AGUGAAAUGCGCAUGCGUAUUACUUCAUAAAGCCGUCUGUUACGUCAGAGCAGCUCACGAAGCCUGAAAAUUUUGUGUCACUGUGCUCUCGUCGUCGACCAAUUUCAUUCUUUUCGACCGUUUCCUAUUACCGACAGUUUUGUUGAUCAUCGAGGAAACAACAGAGUGCGUUCGUGAAUCGUAUGCAGUAUAGAAGCCGAGUCGUUGAGUCGAUUACGCUCGUGUGAAAAAAAAACGGAGCGUGUUGUGUGUUACAAAACAAAUACUCACGGUUUGUCAGAAUGUUAGCAUAAAUGAACAGCGAAUAUUUAUGCUCUAAUUGAUCCACAACUGUUAAGCCUUCGGUAUAUAUCUCUAAAAACAAAACAGUCCGUAAAAACACAACUUCAUCGCAAAUGAUUACCUCGUUGUUAGUUGGAGCACGAUUCAUUAAACAUGCUCUGCAAUUGUGCCUCGACUACGUUAUGUAAUUUACCUUCUUUAAGGUUGUAAUUUUAAACGAAAACGUGCUUACACAGUUUCACGAAUGUUCUUCUUCUUUCUCCUGUUUUUGCUAGCAGAAAAAACUCAUUCUUCCAUUCAAGAUGCGAACUUCACGCGAAUAAUUAGCCAUUCGAAUAACAUCGGAUACGGUCCACAAUUAAAAUAGAUAAUUACUGUGUUAAUCGUAAUCUGGCUUUAUGCUCCGAAUCUUGAUAUUUUAUGAAUCGAGUAAGAAAAACUAAUGAUAUUUCUCUGCAUAUUCGAAUGAAGAAAUAGAGAGAUCGUAAAAUGAAUGGAUAUAUUUGUAAAUAAAUUCAAAAAUUAUACACUACGAAAAUAAAUUUUCUCAAUGAAUAA